GAUGAACGCUGGCGGCGUGCUUAACGCAUGCAAGUCGAACGGGAAUUACUUUAUUGAAACUUCGGUCGAUUUAAUUUAAUUCUAGUGGCGGACGGGUGAGUAACGCGUGGGUAACCUGCCUUAUACAGGGGGAUAACAGUCAGAAAUGACUGCUAAUACCGCAUAAGCGCACGGAACCGCAUGGUUCUGUGUGAAAAACUCCGGUGGUAUAAGAUGGACCCGCGUUGGAUUAGCUUGUUGGUGAGGUAACGGCUCACCAAGGCGACGAUCCGUAGCCGGACUGAGAGGUUGACCGGCCACAUUGGGACUGAGAUACGGGCCCAGACUCCUACGGGAGGCAGCAGUGGGGAAUAUUGGGCAAUGGGCGCAAGCCUGACCCAGCAACGCCGCGUGAAGGAAGAAGGCUUUCGGGUUGUAAACUUCUUUUGUCGGGGACGA
rnacentral:rRNA from 1 species